rnacentral:lncRNA from 1 species
AAAAGGAGAAUUUAUUAUUAAGCAAGAAAUUAAGAUGUUUCAUUACAACACGGAAAUGAUGUUAACUAUACAGUCCCUAAUAGAGAAAACAAUUAAAGGUGGUUUACUCAAGAAAUAGUCUUCGCACUCAGCUUUAGUAAGUGAGUUCCAGUUGCUCCCAUACUGCGCCAGUGUGUGCGCCACUUGGUUUCUUUCACGGUUGACAUGCUUAACAUCCCGCUGGCCCAUGCAUCGAGCAAAAACUUGCAGUCAUGAAGAAAAUUAACAUUUUCUUUGUUGUUAAAUUUGUGGUGUAGUAGGGAGAGUAAUACCUGGCAGUCUGUUUUCACUAUUAUCAGUGUUCAUUUUUUUGUGAAAGCAAGUUCCAAGCUCUUGAGUAAGGCAAUAAUUUCUCCUUAUAAUGGUGAUGAGGCCACUAUUUGGCUAGAAAAUCCAUCAAUCCAAUUCCCUUCUGAAUCUCUGAUGAUUCCUCUU